rnacentral:lncRNA from 1 species
ACCGGAUUUGUUUGAACGAAUCCCGUGAACCACUCACUCAUCAUUUGGAAGAAGGCUUGCUUAGCCUCUCCUCCAUGGCUAUUAGUUUCGAGACUAGAAUCAGACUGCAGUGCCCCUUGAGCGAGAGUGGGUGCAUUACUUUUAACAUUGUCAGCUACGGCUCGAUCAAGAUCCACUUGCUAUAUGAAAACACAAUUUAAGCUGUCAGGAAUCAUCACACUAUCACACUUUAUCUAUAUGGCAUGUAUGGCUAGACUCUCACUCACUACGUCAGUCCUAGAAUUGACUAAACCGUAGCU